rnacentral:rRNA from 1 species
CCUACGGGUGGCAGCAGUCGAGAAUCUUUCACAAUGGGGGAAACCCUGAUGGUGCGACGCCGCGUGGGGGAAUGAAGGUCUUCGGAUUGUAAACCCCUGUCAUGUGGGAGCAAAUUAAAAAGAUAGUAUCACAAGAGGAUGAGCCGGCUUACUUUGUGCCAGCAGCCGCGGUAAUACAUAGGUCUCAAGCGUUGAUCGGCCUGACUGGGCGUAAAGCGUGCGUAGGCUGUUUCAUAAGUAGGGUGUGAAAGGCUGGGGCUCAACCCGCGGACGGCACAUGAUACUGCGAGACUAGAGUGAUGGAGAGGAAAGCGGAAUUCGCGGUGUAGCAGUGAAAUGCGUAGAGAUCGGGAAGAACACCCGUGGCGAAGGCGGCUUCCUGGACAUUAACUGACGCUGAGGCACGAAGGCCAGGGGAGCGAAAAGGAUUAGAUACCCUAGUAGUC